UGGGGGAUAACUUGAGGAAACUCAAGCUAAUACCGCAUACGCCCCAAGGGGGAAAGCAGGGGAUCUUCGGACCUUGCGCUAUCGGAUGAGCCUAUGUCGGAUUAGCUAGUUGGUGAGGUAAUGGCUCACCAAGGCCGCGAUCCGUAGCUGGUCUGAGAGGAUGAUCAGCCACAUCGGGACUGAGACACGGCCCGAACUCCUACGGGAGGCAGCAGUGGGGAAUAUUGGACAAUGGGCGAAAGCCUGAUCCAGCCAUGCCGCGUGUGUGAAGAAGGCCUUCGGGUUGUAAAGCACUUUCAGCGAGGAAGAACGCUUGUGGGUUAAUACCCCGCAAGAAAGACAUCACUCGCAGAAGAAGCACCGGCUAACUCCGUGCCAGCAGCCGCGGUAAUACGGAGGGUGCAAGCGUUAAUCGGAAUUACUGGGCGUAAAGCGCGCGUAGGCGGCUUGAUAAGCCGGUUGUGAAAGCCCCGGGCUCAACCUGGGAACGGCAUCCGGAACUGUCAGGCUAGAGUGCAGGAGAGGAAGGUAGAAUUCCCGGUGUAGCGGUGAAAUGCGUAGAGAUCGGGAGGAAUACCAGAUGGCGAAGGCGGCCUUCUGGACUGACACUGACGCUGAGGUGCGAAAGCGUGGGUAGCAAACAGGAUUAGAUACCCUGGUAGUCCACGCCGUAAACGAUGUCGACUAGCCGUUGGGGUCCUCGAGACCUUUGUGGCGCAGUUAACGCGAUAAGUCGACCGCCUGGGGAGUACGGCCGCAAGGUUAAAACUCAAAUGAAUUGACGGGGGCCCGCACAAGCGGUGGAGCAUGUGGUUUAAUUCGAUGCAACGCGAAGAACCUUACCUACUCUUGACAUCGAGCGAACUUUCCAGAGAUGGAUUGGUGCCUUCGGGAACGCUCAGACAGGUGCUGCAUGGCCGUCGUCAGCUCGUGUUGUGAAAUGUUGGGUUAAGUCCCGUAACGAGCGCAACCCUUGUCCCUAUUUGCCAGCGAUUCGGUCGGGAACUCUAGGGAGACUGCCGGUGACAAACCGGAGGAAGGUGGGGACGACGUCAGGUCAUCAUGGCCCUUACGAGUAGGGCUACACACGUGCUACAAUGGCCGGUACAAUGGGCUGCAAUCCCGCGAGGGGGAGCUAAUCUCAUAAAGCCGGUCUCAGUCCGGAUCGGAGUCUGCAAC
rnacentral:rRNA from 1 species